AGUGAACGCUGGCGGUAGGCCUAACACAUGCAAGUCGAACGGCAGCACAGUAAGAGCUUGCUCUUACGGGUGGCGAGUGGCGGACGGGUGAGGAAUACAUCGGAAUCUACUUUUUCGUGCGGGAUAACGUAGGGAAACUUACGCUAAUACCGCAUACGACCUACGGGUGAAAGCAGGGGAUCUUCGGACCUUGCGCGAUUGAAUGAGCCGAUGUCGGAUUAGCUAGUUGGCGGGGUAAAGGCCCACCAAAGCGACGAUCCGUAGCUGGUCUGAGAGGAUGAUCAGCCACACUGGAACUGAGACACGGUCCAGACUCCUACGGGAGGCAGCAGUGGGGAAUAUUGGACAAUGGGCGCAAGCCUGAUCCAGCCAUACCGCGUGGGUGAAGAAGGCCUUCGGGUUGUAAAGCCCUUUUGUUGGGAAAGAAAAGCAGCAGGUUAAUACCCCGCUGUUCUGACGGUACCCAAAGAAUAAGCACCGGCUAACUUCGUG
rnacentral:rRNA from 1 species